AAAUGUUGGGACAUCCGACGUGUUUGGCCAACAGAUGGAGAUCUAGCUGUCCGAAAAUCCUAUGAUGAAUCCAAUUUUUACUUUUCGAACGUUUACCUUUGAGUUUGUCAAGAAAAGAAAAGACAAUUUACAAUGACGAGGUCUGCAUCCGCUGUAUUAUUUAGUCCACACGCAACGACGUUACCGCUAAUGUUGUUGUUUGUGAAAAAGGACGUGGCAACCGAUCUCAGUUGAAAACAAAAGUAAGGGAAAGUAAAAAAAAAAGGGAAUUCGACGUAACGCCUCGUAGUCCUCAGUUACUUACGCAUGUAACAUCUGCCAGACUGAACGAUGAACGAAUAGAAACUGGGUCAAGGCUGGCUGACCAAAUCGAAAUGUGACAGUAAUGUUCAACAACAGCACUCGCAGCCUUCCCACCACCAGAAUUUACAAAGAGGCAGCAGUCAGUUCAAAGCCUGGGGAGUGGGGCACACCACUUUUCCUUUUGCGCGCUUUCUCCCCGAAGCAUGGAACAGACCUAUUUAACUCUGAAAAAGGCUCUCCAUGAUCAAGCAGCCCCUCUUCUUUAAGUACCUGUUGAAAUUUCACUUUCACUUUCGGUUUCAAGCGGCACCAAAAGAAGGAAAAAAAAACAACAAAAUACGUGCUUUUCAAGAACUCCUUUCCCACAGUAUUGACUUGGAGGAAGAAAUUAAUUCACGUCACCUUCGUUGGCAAGGCCAACAACUGGUAAUUAAUUGUGUGUGUGAUUACUGAAGCAGUUUGUGAAAACGGAUUUCCGACGCAUGAAAACGUAUGUGCAACGCAACAAAUAGCAAAUCAACCACCUUCAAAAUAAUAACAAGAAACAUUACCGACAUCAGGACGACUGCAAACGUGUUGACUUUUGAUGAUGGACACUUGUUGAUACCAAAACACCGAACGGCAAUAAGCAAAGAUGAAAAAAAUUAAUAAGAAACAACGUAAGACUUUUGAUGCCAUUGCAAAACUCUGAUCACAUAACACUGUCGGCUAUCACAUUACAUGAUCUACAAUCGCCAACACAUGGGUUUGUUAUCGAAGCCGGGAGAAGAUUAGCAGAAGUGGAAAAGUUCGCACGCGAAAGCGAACCCAGUUGCCACAGUCGUUGAUCACUGACAACAAACGACACUUCUUUUUUAGAAGGAACACACCACGAUAGUAACGUAGGGUACGAGAGCUGAAACGGUAAUGUAAGAGGAUAGACGGGCCACGGGCUAUGAGAACACAAGUGAAAGUUUUCUCUCUCUCUCUAUACCAAGGCUCUAUACUAACCAGUCUCGACCUCGAUUUCUUUACAUUUUUUUUUCGGUUUUGUGCUAGGGUAGAAUUCUAUCUUUGUCUCUUUCCGAAUAGGUUGAAGACGAUGAUCGUCGCCGCCACCUGGAUUUAUACUUGGAUGAUUACUGAACCUAUUCCGUCUCAUGCCAUGCUUCUUCUUCCUUGUUUUGUUCUGAAAAAAUACCCUUUAGCUCUUCGUCGAGACCCUUUGGCCAUAGCAGGUAAAUUCUCUUUGUUUGCCUUCUAUCGGAAUGCGUCAGGAGAUGUGAUGGCCACAUAAAAUCACAAGACACGAAAUGUCCUUAAAGAGGACAUUCACCACCAAGAAACAAUCAACAUGAUUGGCGCAAGACCUUGUCCCUGCGGAACAAGUCGAAUUGACCUCGGAUAAGCGCAUCAUACCUGAUGUUCUAAACGCGAUUUCACAUAAUGGAGGAGACAAAAAAAAUUAAGCAUUUUUUUUUCGUCUAGUCCCGAAAAACGAAUGUUCGCUCAGAGUGAAAUCCAGUGAAGAACGUAGCCGUGCGCGUACAACGGAUCAGCAAUUCGGCUUUUCUAAAAUAUCUCACAUAUGUCGGGAUCUUUCUUCAAGAAGACGCUUACCUUUCUCUACGUAGAUCUCCGUUAUCGGUUCAUUUCGUAUUCAAGGUUAUGAACGUGCAGUGGAGGAAUGCUGCGUAGAUAGAAAAAUGGAAAAAAAAAAACAUUUCGCUGGCAUAAGAAAAGGCUACUUAAAAAGGAAUGAAAAUUUAGUUUGACGUAUCCCAGAGCACUGUUGAAAACUCUAGUAGAAUAAACUAAUAAACUCGUUUGGUGAGAUACAAACGCGUAGGGCAAAAGUGAGACGUGGUUUUGUUUGUGAUUUUAUCCUUUUUGCUCAUGGCAAACAAAACUAAGAUGAAAAGUGAUGCAACAAGUAACUUGUACGAUCAGACCACCAAGUUCUUCUUGGUGAGAAUAUCUAAUUCCAGUAAUGCAUUUACAGUGUAGCUGUACGUUAGAAGGAGGUCUUUAAUGUACUGGGGCACUUUAACAAUGGCGCAACGAUUCAAAAAGCUUUUGAUCGUAAUUUUCGAGACGUUUAAACAAAUUGUGUAAAAGGGAAUAAGGAAUAUGUUGUCAGACGGUCAACUAAGAUUACUUCGUUCACUGGUGGAUGUAGAAAUAAAAUCUAGUGAACCUAAAAUGAUGAGAUCGAGAACUGAACGUUAUCUGUGCAUGUGGAAAAAUAUAAAAUAUUAGGGAUACAUUUCGAGGAUACAAAGUUUUUGAGAAAUUCGCAUUUAAUAGAGAUUGUGUCAUGGGCAUAUUUAAUUGAUUUACACCAUGCUUUUUAAAGUCGUGCCUAAGUAAACCACUUGAUGUAAGAU